CUGCAGCGUCGUUCCCCCCUACAGCCAUCUGUUUACGAUCUUUCAGUAAGUGUCAGGAGCCAAGCGCUCCCCCUCUCCUCGUCUCCCUCUUUCAAGAGAUGAUCAGAGGAGCGAACAACCAGUGAAAAGAGAAGCGAUGGAGCGAUGCUCCGUCUCUGGACUCACUGCUCUCUUGCGCCUCCUGCUGGUUGCCGUCAUCAUUUGUCCCCCUCAUUGCCGUGCGGGCGACGAGCCUGUCGACAUGCAGCUGUCCGCUACACCCCAGGCCACACCCACUCCGCUCUGGGCAGUCGACUGGGGUCCCACGCAGCCGCUGGAGGACGAGACGCAUCACUUCCUGUCCAGUCAGGAAGUCGAGGGCGUGAAGCAGGCCACACCCGAGGUGUGGCCGCGUCGCAGGAACGCCCAAGCCAACCAAACCCAACAGCAGCCGCUGUCCAUCGAAGCCAAGGACUCGGCAGAGGAGCAGGAACGAGACGCAGAGGAAAGAGAGAUUGAAGAAGUUAUGACCGCAGCCUGUCUCAGCGUCCUCCCCCUCUUUCCCUCGCCAUCCCUCGUUCCCUGGCCCCAGAGGAUAGCAGGCACACACUUCAGAGCACCCCCUCGUUCCCUGACAGAGAAAGACUUCCUGUGGUCAAUCUUUGAAGAACUGACUGUACCAAGCUUUCUAAUCACAUCCUCUGGGCAUGGAAUGUGAAAAAAACAAGGGUAACUAUGAGAACAAACAUAGAACAUGCGGAACUGCAUGAAGACGGAUACAUGAAAGAGAAUAUGUGGGGAUGGACGAGGCUCUGAGGAUUGGGGCUGUAUAUAUAUAUAUAUAUAUAUAUUGGCACAUUUUCUGGACGGAUGUACAGACAUGGAACGGAGGCCGUACAUUCUUUCAAGCCAGAGAUUCAGGCUCUCUUCUUCAGCCAUUUUGAAACAUUCCGUUUGUUUUUUUUUUCCCCCGUCGUCGUUUGAAUCGUUUCUUUCGCCGU
ensembl:lncRNA